UAAAAACCCCGACUUCGGAAGGGGUGUAUUUAUUAGAUACAAAACCAAUGCCCUUCGGGGCUCUUUGGUGAUUCAUGAUAACUAUACGAAUCGCACGGCCUUGCGCCGGCGAUGGUUCAUUCAAAUUUCUUCCCUAUCAACUUUCGAUGUUUGGGUAUUGGCCAAACAUGGUUGCAACGGGUAACGGAGGGUUAGGGCUCGACCCCGGAGAAGGAGCCUGAGAAACGGCUACUACAUCCAAGGAAGGCAGCAGGCGCGCAAAUUACCCAAUCCCGACUCGGGGAGGUAGUGACAAUAAAUGCUGAUACAGGGCCCUUUCGGGCCUUGUAAUUGGAAUGAGUACAAUUUAAAUCCCUUAACGAGGAACAAUUGGAGGGCAAGUCUGGUGCCAGCAGCCGCGGUAAUUCCAGCUCCAAUAGCGUAUAUUAAAGUUGUUGUGGUUAAAAAGCUCGUAGUUGAACCUUGGGCCUGGCUGGCCGGUCCGCCUCACCGCGUGCACUGGUCCGGCCGGGCCUUUCCCUCUGUGGAACCCCAUACCCUUCACUGGGCGUGGCGGGGAAACAGGACAUUUACUUU
rnacentral:rRNA from 1 species